UGGUUAAUAAAAUAGUUAUUAAAACAUAUGGCUGAGCACAGUGGCUCACUCCUGUAAUCCCAGCACUUUGGGAGGCCAAGGUGGGCAGAUCAGGAGAUCAGGAGAUGGAGACCAUCCUGGCUAACACUGAAAUCCCUUCUCUACUAAAAACACAAAAAAUUAGCUGGGCAUGGUGGCUCACACCUAUAUUCCCAGCUACUUGAGAGGCUGAGGCAGGAGAAUCGCUUGAACCUGGGUGGCGGAGGUUGCAGUAAACUGAGAUUGCACCACUGCACUCCAUCCAGCCUGGGCGACAGAGCGAGACUCCGCCUCAAAAAAUAAAAAAUAAAAAAGCCAUAUAUAAUAGGUAUAUCCCAAGGGGGAGAUAGGUGUGGUGCAGCAGCUCAGCCCAGACAGCCUGUGUGGAUGGGAGAGCAAUAGAUGAAGGAGGCGGUCAGAGCUGUAAAGUAUGUGGCCCAAGAGUAGAGGGGCUUGAAGGAGAAACUGAGUGCACUGAACAAUUUUGUCUGCUUCACAGUUUUAUCCAGGGCCAGCCUUUGGAUGACCUAGGAAGAAAGUCCCAGAGUCCAGAGGAGGAGAUUUUAUGAUGUCAUCACCUGACCUUUAUGACAUAGGCACAUGCCGCCAGGGAGAAAUCAACUCAGGGAAUGGGGCCCCCAGCUCCCAUUGGGGGCGGCGACCCUGGUGUCACCCCUUAGACAAAGUCCCAGUCUCCCAGAGGCUUUUACCAGCUGGCCCCAUUUCUGCUGCUGCUGGGUAUAAUAAGCCAUCUCCACCUGGGCCAGGAUCCUCUCAAUGCUGAAGUGCCUGUGAGAAACAGUCCAGAGGAAUCCUCACUGGAGCAUUCUGCCAGUUCCUUUGAUCCCAAAGGUGACAUGGAUUAAAAGUCUUGGUGAGUUCAGCCUGGAACUAGGGACAUGAGGCAGAGCUAGAAAUGGACCAAUUCUCCCAGUGUCUUGGGCUUUCUCUUUUCUCUCCAGGUCCUAUGGCUUUGUCUUCCUCUCUGCCCCACCAGAUAAUUGCUGCUGUCCCUCAGCUCCCAAGAGGCAGCUGUGAUUCUCCAUCCCUGUACAUCCCUCAUCAAUGGCUGACUGCAAAGACUUGAGAAGUCAAGCUGAGUCCCAUGCUCCUGCCUGAACACCCAGAGAGCCUGGUGCUGGAGGGCUGGCCUGCCACCAGCACCUGCACCCACACCAGGCUGAAGCCACCCUCUGCACACAGAAGGUGGCCUUGAUUUCUCAGGCACAGCUGACCUCAGAGAUACUGGGCCUGACUCUGCCAGGUUUCUCAUCCCUGGUUUUGUUGCCCAG
rnacentral:lncRNA from 13 species